AGUGAACGCUGGCGGUAGGCCUAACACAUGCAAGUCGAACGGCAGCACAGUAAGGGCUUGCUCUUACGGGUGGCGAGUGGCGGACGGGUGAGGAAUACAUCGGACUCUACUUUUUCGUGGGGGAUAACGUAGGGAAACUUACGCUAAUACCGCAUACGACCUACGGGUGAAAGCAGGGGAUCUUCGGACCUUGCGCGAUUGAAUGAGCCGAUGUCGGAUUAGCUAGUUGGCGGGGUAAAGGCCCACCAAGGCGACGAUCCGUAGCUGGUCUGAGAGGAUGAACAGCCACACUGGAACUGAGACACGGCCCAGAGUCCUACGGGAGGCAGCAGUGGGGAAUAUUGGACAAUGUGGGCAAGCCUGAUCCAGCCAUACCGCGUGGGUGAAGAAGGCCUUCGGGUUGUAAAGCCCUUUUGUUGGGAAAGAAAAGCAGCAGGUUAAUACCCCGCUGUUCUGACGGUACCCAAAGAAGAAGCACCGGCUAACUUCGUG
rnacentral:rRNA from 1 species